rnacentral:misc_RNA from 1 species
AUUCGAUCUCUGGACAGCUAGGGCGAAAGCAGCAGGAUACGAGAAGAAGUGGAGAAAACUAUUAGAAGAAGACAGAAGAACCAUGUCGAAUAGGACCAAUUCUUCGUUGUCUGGUCUAAUGCCUAUCGAAUCAUUGGUGCCGCUACUAAUUGCCUAUGUUCUAACGACAACUUUAGCGGUAUUUGGAAAUAGUUUAGUUAUAGUCGUUUUCUCGUGUGGUAGGAGGUCUAGGAGCGAUUUAAGAGGCUUUCUUAUCAAUUUAGCAGUUGCCGAUUUAGUCAUGGCUAUUUUCUGCACACCUUUUACAUUUACCCAUACGAUAAUGAACCAUUGGCCAUUCUCCAAUGCCUUGUGCCCGCUGGUUCUAUACAUGCAACUAGUGUCAGGUUACCCUUUUUUUAUUUUAUUCUAUUUGCUUAUCAUCACUAAUUUUCCGUCCAUUUGUACGUUUAUCUUUAUAUCUAUCUAUUUAAUAUAUUCAUUGUUUUCCCUCGGUUUUUAAAUGCUUUACGGCGCCUCUCAUCUAGCUACUCAUAUCUAUUAUUCUUAUAUAAUAUUCUGUUUGUUUUUCUUUCUGUUUGGCAUGGCAUCUAUAUACUAAAUUGUUCAAUUUUAUCGAUGGAGGGCGCUAAUGGUUUCUCAGUCAGGUACAUCUUUUUUGAAUUUGGAUACUAGUAGAGAAUCUUAAAAAAAAUAGAAGAGUAAAAGUAUUUAUUGGCAGCUGUAAUAUAACGGAAAGAGUUUGCCAUGAUUUAUCGUGCUUUUGCUACGGCUUCUCAUCGGUUAGAAUAAGGAAUAAAUUUAGUUUCCACAUAUACAAACUCAGUGUGGACAAACAAGAAUUUUCAUCAAACUAACUAUAACAUUUGUACUUUUAUAGUAAACAGCGAACAAUAGUGUCUGUAAUGUAUUAAUUCUGAACUUAAACGUCCCAAUUCUUUAUUUUUGUAUAUGUUCCUUUUAUUAUUUAUGUAGUAGGAAAAAAAAAGAGAACUCUAUCUUAAUAGAGAGGGAGGGGAGAGAUCGGUAGAGUUAGAAGCGAAACGAAUGAAUAGUUUUAUAUGGAAACCAAACGCACAUCUUAAAAUUAUUAUUGUCGUAUUUACUUUCGUAUUAAAACAUAAAGAUCUAGAUUUAGUAAUUUGUAGUGAAAUCGAUUUUCAAGAUGAAGGGAGAGAAGAAACCUUUUCAAAAAAUAAAGAAAUCCCUCCUUUUAAGGACGCAGGAAGCGGUUAUAAAAAAGCACAGCUAUUUGCCAAAACUUUUCUAUAAAUUAUUUACAAUAACAUUUAAUUUUAUUUCUCUACAUCUCCUAUACUUUUUCCAUUUCGUAUCAAUAAAUGUCUUUUCUUGUUGUCCUCUAUUCUUCAUCAAGUACUUUCUGCAGUUACGGCUUCUGUCUGCACGAAUACAGCACUAGGAUUCGAUCGUUUCUGGAUCGUGGCUUUUCCACUCAAAUCACGCCUGACAAAGUCUAGGGUCAAAGUGGUGAUACUAAUGAUCUGGUUGAUCGCAUUGUCGGCAUCCAGCGUUCAAUUAUUUAUUGGUAGAGCCGUAACAAAUGGAACAAAUACUAAGCCUAUUUGCAGGGAAGAUUGGGAAGAUGAGAAAUCGAGACAAAUUUAUACAUUCUUCGUUUUAUUGACUACCUACGUUGUACCUUUAACAAUUCUUACAGCUACUUACGGCAUGGUAGGAGUCAAACUUUGGCAGAGAACGACACCAGGGAAUGCCGAUCAAGCGAGAGAUAUGCAGCAGUUAAGGAGUAAACGAAAAGUAAUUAAAAUGUUGGUCGUCAUUGUUGCCUUAUUCGCUAUUUGCUGGCUACCCUUACAUUUAUUUAUGAUUGUAUUAGAUUCUGUUCCCUCAUGGACUAAAAAGACGGAAUUACAACCUAUAUUAAAUGGUAUCUAUUACACUGUUCAUUGGCUGGCCAUGUCGAACAGCUGUGUUAACCCAAUAGUAUACAGCUUCCUAAACGACAGCUUUCGAGCCGAUUUGAAGCGUUUAGUACGGAACUGGUGUAAUUGCUUUAAGGGACGGAGGGACGGAGAAUAUGCUAGGACGCUUGUACGUGACUAUUCUCGCAGCGAUCGAGCGUCUCUGAAAGGCUGUGACACGAAUCGGCGUCUCUUGUCAAGUCGUAACCAACACGAAGAUGGAGGCGAAUUAGGGCAGGUCGUAAUCGCUUUGCGAAACGUCGGAGAAAGACAACGCGAUUCGGAUUUGAAUCGACUCUGACAACUUACAAUCUUGCUUCUAGGUUAACAGUUGCUUUAUAGAUAAACAUAGAUAUUCGACUCUUCAAACCUUGAAGAAUCUUCUUACUUUACACAAAGUUAUUUCAGGACAGAAGACAAGACAGUAGACAGCACGAAGAAAAGGAACAUAGCGCCACAAAAAUAACCUCAUUUUCAUUACCUAAAAAGACAAAAAACUACUAAUUCUUUCUUCAUAUCCAUUUUUAAUGAUGAAAGUUGGACGAAUUGCAAAUAGAUUGAGGCAAAAUUGUCGAAUAUCUAUGUUCAGUCUGUUUAUAAGUUCGUCGUUGUUUUGUGACGAAAGAGAGAUAUUAUAAUUUCAGCACAAAGGGCCGAUGGAAGGAUUCGGUCGCAUCUCUACUAACUUGAUUGCUUGAUGCAAACUGACAAGAUAUUGAUUCUUUGCUCGGUGUGAAUCCUAAUAAUUGAAACAGUUUAUAUCUCGUAAAAAAAUACAUAAUUGCUAGUCUUUGU